rnacentral:rRNA from 1 species
GGAGGGUGCAAGCAUUAAUCGGAAUNAUUGGGCGUAAAGGGCGCGUAGGCGGAUAGGUAAGUUAGAUGUGAAAUUCCGGGGCUCAACCUCGGAGCUGCAUUUAAAACUACCGAUCUAGAGGAAUGGCGGAGAAAAUGGAAUUCCACGUGUAGCGGUGAAAUGCGUAGAUAUGUGGAGGAACACCAGUGGCGAAGGCGGUUUUCUAGCUUUUUCCUGACGCUGAGGCGCGAGAGCAAGGGGAGCAAACAGGAUUAGAUACCCUGGUAGUCCACGCCCUAAACGAUGUCAACUGGUUGUUGGGAAUUAGUUUUCUCAGUAACGAAGCUAACGCGUGAAGUUGACCGCCUGGGGAGU